UUAACACAUGCAAGUCGAACGGAAAGGCCCUGCUUUUGUGGGGUGCUCGAGUGGCGAACGGGUGAGUAACACGUGAGUAACCUGCCCUUGACUUUGGGAUAACUUCAGGAAACUGGGGCUAAUACCGGAUAGGAGCUCCUGCUGCAUGGUGGGGGUUGGAAAAUUUCGGCGGUUGGGGAUGGACUCGCGGCUUAUCAGCUUGUUGGUGGGGUAGUGGCUUACCAAGGCUUUGACGGGUAGCCGGCCUGAGAGGGUGACCGGCCACAUUGGGACUGAGAUACGGCCCAGACUCCUACGGGAGGCAGCAGUGGGGAAUAUCGCACAAUGGGCGGAAGCCUGAUGCAGCAACGCCGCGUGCGGGAUGACGGCCUUCGGGUUGUAAACCGCUUUCGCCUGUGACGAAGCGUGAGUGACGGUAAUGGGUAAAGAAGCACCGGCUAACUACGUGCCAGCAGCCGCGGUGAUACGUAGGGUGCGAGCGUUGUCCGGAUUUAUUGGGCGUAAAGGGCUCGUAGGUGGUUGAUCGCGUCGGAAGUGUAAUCUUGGGGCUUAACCCUGAGCGUGCUUUCGAUACGGGUUGACUUGAGGAAGGUAGGGGAGAAUGGAAUUCCUGACGGAGCGGUGGAAUGCGCAGAUAUCAGGAGGAACACCAGUGGCGAAGGCGGUUCUCUGGGCCUUUCCUGACGCUGAGGAGCGAAAGCGUGGGGAGCGAACAGGCUUAGAUACCCUGGUAGUCCACGCUGUAAACGGUGGGUACUAGGUGUGGGGUCCAUUCCACGGGUUCCGUGCCGUAGCUAACGCUUUAAGUACCCCGCCUGGGGAGUACGGCCGCAAGGCUAAAACUCAAAGGAAUUGACGGGGCCCCGCACAAGCGGCGGAGCAUGCGGAUUAAUUCGAUGCAACGCGUAGAACCUUACCUGGGUUUGACAUGGAUCGGGAGUGCUCAGAGAUGGGUGUGCCUCUUUUGGGGUCGGUUCACAGGUGGUGCAUGGCUGUCGUCAGCUCGUGUCGUGAGAUGUUGGGUUAAGUCCCGCAACGAGCGCAACCCUUGUUCACUGUUGCCAGCACGUUAUGGUGGGGACUCAGUGGAGACCGCCGGGGUCAACUCGGAGGAAGGUGGGGAUGACGUCAAGUCAUCAUGCCCCUUAUGUCCAGGGCUUCACGCAUGCUACAAUGGCUGGUACAGAGAGUGGCGAGCCUGUGAGGGUGAGCGAAUCUCGGAAAGCCGGUCUCAGUUCGGAUUGGGGUCUGCAACUCGACCUCAUGAAGUCGGAGUCGCUAGUAAUCGCAGAUCAGCAACGCUGCGGUGAAUACGUUCCCGGGGCUUGUACACACCGCCCGUCAAGUCAUGAAAGUUGGUAACACCCGAAGCCGGUGGCCUAACCGUUGUGGGGGAGCCGUCGAAGGUGGGACUGGUGAUUAGGACUAAGUC
rnacentral:rRNA from 1 species